rnacentral:rRNA from 1 species
UAAUACGUAGGGUGCGAGCGUUAAUCGGAAUUACUGGGCGUAAAGCGUGCGCAGGCGGCGCCGCAAGUCAGGCGUGAAAUCCCCGAGCUUAACUUGGGAAUGGCGCUUGAAACUACGGUGCUGGAGUGUGGCAGAGGGAGGUGGAAUUCCACGUGUAGCGGUGAAAUGCGUAGAGAUGUGGAGGAACACCGAUGGCGAAGGCAGCCUCCUGGGCCAACACUGACGCUCAUGCACGAAAGCGUGGGGAGCAAACAGGAUUAGAUACCCUGGUAGUCCACGCCGUAAACGAUGGGUACUAGGUGCCUGGGGGAGCGACCCUCUGGGUGCCGGCGCUAACGCAGGAAGUACCCCGCCUGGGGAGUACGACCGCAAGGUUG